rnacentral:rRNA from 1 species
UGGUGGAGUGAUUUGUCUGGUUAAUUCCGAUAACGAACGAGACUCUUCCCUGCUAAAUAGUACGUCUGUAUUUGUGCUCGUGCUGUACACUUGCAGGCGCUGACUUCUUAGAGGGAUUGGUGGUAUUCAAACUACAAGAAACAGAGCAAUAACA